rnacentral:tRNA from 6 species
CGCGGGGUGGAGCAGCACGGUAGCUCGUCGGGCUCAUAACCCGAAGGUCGCAGGUUCAAAUCCUGCCCCCGCAACCA